rnacentral:rRNA from 1 species
AUUGAACGCUGGCGGCAUGCCUCACACAUGCAAGUCGAACGGCAGCACGGGAGCAAUCCUGGUGGCGAGUGGCGAACGGGUGAGUAAUAUAUCGGAACGUGCCCAGUCGUGGGGGAUAACGCAGCGAAAGCUGUGCUAAUACCGCGUACGAUCUACGGAUGAAAGCGGGGGAUCGCAAGACCUCGCGCGAUUGGAGCGGCCGAUAUCAGAUUAGCUAGUUGGUGGGGUAAAGGCCCACCAAGGCGACGAUCUGUAGCUGGUCUGAGAGGACGACCAGCCACACUGGAACUGAGACACAGUCCAGACUCCUACGGGAGGCAGCAGUGGGGAAUUUUGGACAAUGGGCGCAAGCCUGAUCCAGCAAUGCCGCGUGCAGGAUGAAGGCCUUCGGGUUGUAAACUGCUUUUGUACGGAACGAAACGGCCCUUUCUAAUACAGGGGGCUAAUGACGGUACCGUAAGAAUAAGCACCGGCUAACUACGUGCCAGCCGCCGCCGUAA